AUGGGGACUGGGGCUGGCGCCUACAUCCUCACUCGAUUUGCUCUGAACAACCCCGAGAUGGUGGAGGGCCUGGUGCUCAUCAACAUGAACCCCUGUGCCGAGGGCUAGAUGGACUGGGCGGCCUCCAAGAUCUCUGGAUGAACCAGGUCCUUCCGGACAUGGUGGUGUCCCACCUCUUUGGGAAGGAGGAAAUGCAGAACAACGUGGAGGUGGUGCACACCUACCGCCAGCAGAUCCUUAACGACAUGAACCCGGGCAACCCGCACCUGUUCAUCAACGCCUACAACAGCUGGCGGGACCUGGAGAUCGAGCGGCCGAUCCCGGGAGUGCACACGGUCACCCUGCAGUGCCCUGUGUUGCUGGUGGUUGGGGACAGUUCUCCCGCCAUGGAUGAUGUGGUGGAGUGCACCUCAAAACUGGACCCAACCAAGACCACCCUCCUCAAGACGGCGGACUGUGGCGGCCUCCCGCAGAUCUCCCAGCCAGCCAAGCUCGCGGAGGCUUUCAAGUACUUGGUGCAGGGCAUGGGAUACAUGCCCUCUGCCAGCAUGACCCGCCUGAUGCGGCCUCGGGCUCCAGUGUCACGUCCCUGGAGGGCACCCGGAGCCGCUCCCACCCCAGUGAGGUCUCCUGCCUGGACAUCACCCCCAACGCCGGCUCCACUGGGAACAACGCCGGGCCCAAGUCCAUGGAGGUGUCCUGCUAGGCGGUCUGCGCGCACCGCCGCCCCCUGGUCUGUGGGACCACAGUAGCUGCCCCCUCCUCUCGCCCUCCCCAGCCCCUGCCCGCCAUACCACAUGCAACUCGGUAUUAACCCCAAGCUAGUUUUGUAGGAGGGAGCUCUGGCCAUGGCUUUAGAUGGGAUUUGUCCAGGGCGCCCCCUCCAGGGCCGGGCGGGGUGGACCAAAGGAACGGAAGCAUCUUAGUGUCCCCUGUGCAUUGAAGAGUGGCCUGGUGGCCGCUGGCUUCCCCUCCCUCCAAGAUGCCAAACUGCCCCAAACAAGAAACAUAGCA